AAGUCGUAACAAGGUUUCCGUAGGUGAACCUGCGGAAGGAUCAUUACCAAAUCCAAAUCCUAACACCAUGUGAACUGAUGUUUGUCUGUCUUUGGGGGUGACAAGGUGGCAGAUUUGCUUUAUUGCUUUUCUGCAAACUUUUGUUACCCCCAAAAGAAUCCGGCACUUUGGUGCUUGGUUCGUGACUAAACUACUUUUAAACUUUUGGUGGAAUACUUUUAUUAAAUAUUAAUAAAAGACAACUUUUAACGGUGGAUCUCUUGGCUCGU
rnacentral:misc_RNA from 1 species